UACGUAGGUGGCAAGCGUUGUCCGGAAUUAUUGGGCGUAAAGCGCGCGCAGGUGGUUUCUUAAGUCUGAUGUGAAAGCCCACGGCUCAACCGUGGAGGGUCAUUGGAAACUGGGGAACUUGAGUGCAGGAGAGAAGAGUGGAAUUCCACGUGUAGCGGUGAAAUGCGUAGAGAUGUGGAGGAACACCAGUGGCGAAGGCGACUCUUUGGCCUGUAACUGACACUGAGGAGCGAAAGCAUGGGGAGCGAACAGG
rnacentral:rRNA from 1 species